UACCACGCUGUUAGGAUCCCAUACACCCUCAGCCAGACAGAGGUGAUAUCUGACUGCUCAACUAGGAUUGCUCUCUUCAAAGCCAAGGAGGCCACACUGCUGCUGGCUGUGUCCAACCUGUGCUUUGACCCAAUUCUGUACUAUCAUCUGUCGAAAGCAUUUCGACUGAAGGUCACUGAGACUUUCGCCUCGCCUCAAAAGAUGAAGGCUCGGGAGGAAAAACCGAGACGUGAGAAUGACGUGCAAAGUACAGGCUCUGCGUGUUAGUCCUUCUUCCUGACUGGACCACAAAGCUGGCCACAGUUUUCAAAGAUAAAAGGAGAUGCUAAGAUAGAAGAGUCCUAGGACUAAAGGCUGCUGAUAGCUGGUGAACAGGUUCACGCAGGACGUCAACACAAGCCAGCCCUGCACCCUCACAGUUGCCGGGAUUCUUUAUUCCAAAUAUCUGUACAGGAAAAUUGGCAAAGCACGUGGAAUGAAGGUCAACUGGAACCAUCAAAGCAAGAAGAGCCGUGGCAAAGACUCAGAGACCCACUUCGGUGCCUGGAACUGACUUCUUCAUGAAAAUAUAUCAAACAAUAUGAAAUAAAAGCAUCAAAAUACCUGCAUCAUUUUUACUUGUAAACGACUGCUUUGAAAGGUAAUAAAUGCUCUCUAUUCAGC
rnacentral:lncRNA from 1 species